GACGAACAGUGCAAGCGUUAUUCGGAAUUAUUGGGCGUAAAGGGUACGUAGGUUGCCGUUUGAAUAUGGAAUGAAAAGCUAGAGCAUAACUUUAGAUAGAAUUCUUUGAGAUUAUUCGGCUAUGAGUUAAAGAGAGGUUGGAACAAAUUCUAGUGUAGGGUUAAAAUUCUUCGAUAUUAGAAUGAAUACCAAAGGCGAAGGCAUCUUUCUGGUUUUAACUGACGCUGAGGUACGGAAGCAUGGGUAGCAAACAGG
rnacentral:rRNA from 1 species